AUUUAUUCUUGUCACGACGGUUGGACCCAGCAGGACUUGCAUUCGAAGGGAAGCCAGACAACGUGCGUUUGGACCCCUCCGAUGCAGACUUUGUUGACGUCAUACACACUGAUGGUCAACCAGUAACGUCGUUAGGUUUUGGUUCCUCAAAGCCGAUGGGUGAUGCUGAUUUCUACCCGAACGGCGGAAAAGAUCAACCGGGAUGCAAAUCGGCUGAAAAACACUUAAUUAAGCUGAUUACAGGAAAAUUCAAAAGUUUCCAGAAAGGGGUGGGAUGUGACCAUACCAGGGCCAGGGACUACUUUAUCGAGUCCAUCUACAACAGGUGCAAUUUUUCCGCCAGCAAAUGCCCGGAUUUCGAUGUCUUCAUACGCGGCGACUGCCCCUGUUUCCUGAAGUACUGCGCUCGGAUGGGUUACUACGCGAAUCCCGACCAUACCGGCUCUUUCUACCUUGUGACAAACGGCACGGCGCCUUUCUGUGUCCAAUAGAUUAUAAUAGAUUCGCUUUGAGAAAACUGAGCUUAAUGCAUGUGCAUAAACUGGCGUCCCAUAUUAACCUGUGCAGUCAGCAAUAAAUGGUGUUUUGUCAUUAAAGAAACUCUCUUCUAAGCAAACAGUCUAGUUAAGGGGGGAAGUGUCUUCCCUUAUUAGUCUUCAAAGGCUAUUCUGGUAGUACACUUUACGCACAUGCAUUAAACCCCGUUUUCCCAAAACGAGGCUGUUAUAAUUUGUACGUCCGAUGCGUCGCUUCCUCUGUAUGACAGGCGUUGGGAGAUUUUGAAAAAGUUUUGGAAAAAAUAAUUUUCGAAAAAGAAAAACAGUGUUAUAUUAUUCGCGGGACAUUAAUUUUCGUUGAUUUUAUGUGUUAAGGAUAGUGUUCUAAUUUGUUACAAUUAUUUUUAUUUUAUCGAAAGGUUGCUAGGUAUUUGUAUUUUGUAGGUGUAAGUACCUUUUAUUUCUAAAGAAUAUUAUAUUUGAUGUUUUUGUUUUGAGGCAUUAUUUCUGAUACAUAUAUCGCAAUGACGUUUUGACAAGCCUGUGUUUCUAUGAGUAAACUAUCCUUCAUCCGAUAUUAUAAACUACCUUAUUGAAGCUAUGUUGAAGGAGCAACUUGGGCCCGUAUUCACCAAUAUAUCCUUCAAUUUAAAAAUAAUAAAUGCACAGACUUAAGAAAAAUGCACAACAGUUGACUAUAAACAAGUUACAAAUGUUGCUAAUAAGAUUUACUUAUUGUUUUAAAAUUAAAAAUG